rnacentral:lncRNA from 1 species
CGACUUCGCAGAGGAGGAGGAGGUGCAAUCCUUCGGUUACAAGCGGUUUGGUAUUCAGGAAGGAACACAAUGUACCAAAUGUAAAAAUAACUGGGCACUGAAGUUUUCUAUCAUAUUAUUAUACAUUUUGUGUGCCUUGCUAACAAUCACAGUAGCCAUUUUGGGAUAUAAAGUUGUAGAGAAAAUGGACAAUGUCACAGGUGGCAUGGAAACGUCUCGCCAAACCUAUGAUGACAAGCUCACAGCAGUGGAAAGUGACCUGAAAAAAUUAGGUAAU